rnacentral:rRNA from 1 species
AACGCUAGCUACAGGCUUAACACAUGCAAGUCGAGGGGCAGCGGGAUUGAAGCUUGCUUCAAUUGCCGGCGACCGGCGCACGGGUGAGUAACGCGUAUCCAACCUUCCGUACACUCAGGGAUAGCCUUUCGAAAGAAAGAUUAAUACCUGAUGGUAUGAUGAGAUUGCAUGAUAGCAUCAUUAAAGAUUUAUCGGUGUACGAUGGGGAUGCGUUCCAUUAGGUAGUAGGCGGGGUAACGGCCCACCUAGCCAACGAUGGAUAGGGGUUCUGAGAGGAAGGUCCCCCACAUUGGAACUGAGACACGGUCCAAACUCCUACGGGAGGCAGCAGUGAGGAAUAUUGGUCAAUGGACGAGAGUCUGAACCAGCCAAGUAGCGUGAAGGAUGAAGGUCCUACGGAUUGUAAACUUCUUUUAUAAGGGAAUAAACCCUCCCACGUGUGGGAGCUUGUAUGUACCUUAUGAAUAAGCAUCGGCUAACUCCGUGCCAGCAGCCGCGGUAAUACGGAGGAUGCGAGCGUUAUCCGGAUUUAUUGGGUUUAAAGGGAGUGCAGACGGGUCGUUAAGUCAGCUGUGAAAGUUUGGGGCUCAACCUUAAAAUUGCAGUUGAUACUGGCGUCCUUGAGUGCGGUUGAGGUGUGCGGAAUUCGUGGUGUAGCGGUGAAAUGCUUAGAUAUCACGAAGAACUCCGAUUG